rnacentral:tRNA from 1 species
UGGCCCAUAGCUCAACGGCAGAGCAACGCCCUGUUAAGGCGUCAGGUCUAGGUUCGAAUCCUAGUGGGUCAG